UACGAACACUUGUAUGAAAUGUUCUUUGAUUUUGAGUAGUAAUGUUACUUUAAGGAAGUUUCUUUUUAUCGGAAAUCCAAUAUAAGAAGAAUGUGCCGUUACUGAUAUAACUGAUAUAACUGAUAUAACUUGUGCGGACUGCAUAGGCUAAUCUUGGGCGACAGAUAAUGCACAUGCAUUAAACCCCGUUUUCCAAAUGAUUGGUUCUAAUCUUACUUGUACGGCACAGUCGGCGUCGGUGAUCGCGAUCGGCCGUCGGCGAAGUCCUGUCGUAGACGUGUCAAGUGACUCGGAAGUGGGAGUGGGAAGUCGCGUUUUUCUGCAUUAGAGUCGCCCAUCUAAUCAUAGAUGCGCCCUCACCUUUCAUCGGACGGUCUUUUCGAAGGGGUUCCAGCUCCCCCGCGCGUCUCAGCACACCUCCCGGUGACUCCCGCAGCAACCCCGGGCUAUACACCCUCGGAGACAGGCUGUGGGCUCUGAAGUCACCCAGGGGAGACAAGUGUAUACCGCGAGUGUGCGGCGUCAAUCCGUAGUUGCCGUUCGUGACUGGUUCUUUCUUUUGAAAUUUUGAAAAGGCAAGUAAAAGAUAUUAUGAUGAUGGUGGUGGCGUUGAUCGUAAAGAUGCUCAUGAAAAAUGAGAAUUAUGAGAAAUAUGAGAAAAAUAAAUAAAUAAAAUAAUUAUAAAAAAAUAAAAUAUAAUAAUAAUAACGAGGAAGAAGAUGAUAAUGAAGAAGAAGAAGAUGAUGAUAAUGGUGAUGAUGAGACGACGAUGAUGAUGAUGAUGAUUAGGAUGAUGAUAAUAAUCAUGAUUACGAUGAUGAUGAUGAUGAUGAUGAAAAUGAUGAUGAUGAUGAUAAUGAUGAUGAUGAUAUACACAUUAAUCCGCUCCUGUAAUUCACAUUUUAAACUUGCUGUAAAUAUCUUCAGACGUUAAUAAAAAACACCCAACAUUUUCUUUAAAAGCAAAUAAACAUGCAGUCCGAAGUUA